AAUUGAACCAGUCCCAUUGAAACGCGCCGCGGCUACCUACCGGCUUAGUGUGGACUAAAAUAUAAUAUGAAUGCAUUCAACAAGCUCGUGCAAAAUUUACCCACACGAGCCAUUUUUACGAAGAAGUGGAGAAGGCGGAAGGCCCGAUCCUUGGCCAUGGCGGAUUAGGGUUAGUUUUUGUUCGUAAAGCGGGAGCCAUCCCAUCAUCAGAUGAGAAAAGAGAAGGUCAAGAUGCCAAGGAGGAAGAGCUUCUCCGGCUUCAAUUUCUCAAUCAGAUUCUUGAAGACCGGAGGGGCUGAAGAUGAUGAGACUAUUAUUCCUUAAAAUUCAUUUGUUAAUGUGUAUCAGUCUGACCAUUGUAUGGAGACAUUGAUUGCUAUUACAGCAUGAGAACUGCUACUGACUCCGUUGUCUGGCCUUCUUGAUCUGGAUUGUGUGAAGGAAGGACUUAGUAUCUGUGGUGGAGAGAGGAGCCGGUUUUGGAGAGGAAAUGGAUGAAAUGGAUGUUAGACGAAGCUACAUAAUUUUCUCAUAAACAGCAAAUGGGAAAAAAAGAGGCGGGAUAUGGGCUGAAAAAGUUGCAGCUGUUGUACGGGAAGGACAUUCUUUACUCUGAAAGGCCGUUUGGAAGAGAGAAACUAUGAGGACAUCGAGCAAUAUUUGAGGCUUGCCUUGUGCCUCCCUCCGAAGCAAUGCACCGCUUGUGGAGUGAGCAAAACCUCGCAAUGGAGGAAUGGUCCUAGAGGACCGAAGACCCUGUGCAACAUAUGUGGCAUUCGCUAUAUAAAGGAAGGGCCGCGUCUUAACACCAACUUAACUUUGGGUCCAGCAAACUUCAAUAUGGAGGCCGACCGUCAUCCUAAUUGAGCAACAUAAAUUUAGCAAAGCUUCCCAAAGGACUCAUUGAUGCAAGAACUUACACAAGGGAAGCAAUCCAUCAACAAUAACUCGGUUGCAGGAGAAAAUGAUGCACUACAAUUGUUCCUCUUCUCCCUCCUGCUGGAAGAAGAGAAUGUGGAUAUGGUGUUUUGUAGGCGACUGCUGCAACUGGCAAUAAAAUUUCAGAAUCGUUCAUGGUAUUGAAGCUCAUGUAUGAGCAAGUCCAUGGAAUUGUUUCCCUUGUCAUGAUUCUGGCCGGCACUUUUUCUAUUGUUGUGUUAGACAAAAGAAGGGACUACAGAUGGGUCUUUGCACUCAUGCCAUGGCUCUCUUUGCCUCCUCCCCUAAGAAAUCUUUUUGAGAUAUUUUUUUUUUUAUAAUAUUUCUGAAUGAUCUAUCUAUAAGAAAAAUAUUCAGGAAAAGACUAACAGAAGCCUUAAAAUUAUCAGAACUUUUUGAGUUGGAUUGACGGUGUUGGCGUGUUGCUGCACAGCCAUGGCUCUCUUUUCCUCCCUUACUUCCCUCCAAUCCCCAUCCUUCCCUCCAAAGCCUCCCAAAGACCCACCCGCCUCGGUCGCUCCUCCUCUAUGAAACCAUCCCUUCCCUCUCCCUCACCCUCAUCAAAAGAGAAAGAUUUAUCCUUCGUCACCUCCCAUUCCCCCUCCGCCAAGUCCAAGCCCAAACCCUCCGCCCGCUCUCCCCACCGCCGCCGUUGCCGCCCCCCCCCCCUUCUCUCUCAACCCCGACCUUAAACAUCUCUCCCUCCUCUUCCGCCUUCUCCGCCGCCCUUUCAGAAGCCUUCCUCCUCCCUCCCUUCCAAGAAAACGCCGUAUUCGUCCUCAACUCCCUCUGCUCGUGGCCCAAAGCCCUCCAAUUCUUCGACUGGCUUAAGACCCACGGCAGCUAAUUCCCCCCCGACACCACUCUUUACCAUGUCACAUGAGGUCGCUACGCGACGGCCGGCAGCACGGCCUCGUCGAGCGCCUCGCCUCUGCUCGACAACGUCACCUACUCCACCAUCGUCACCUCCGUCAGGUGGUGCCGCCGGUUCGACAGGGCCGUCGAGUGAUUCGGGAGGGUUUACAGGACCUGCCUCAUCCUCGAUGAGGUCACCUACUCGGCUGUCCUCGUGUGCUCAAUUGGGCAAGAGGGAGGAGGCGGUCUCCCUGUUUGGGAGGGCCCGGGCUGGAGGGUGGACGCCGGACCCGGUCGCCUCCUCGGUGCUCGGUAAAUUAUUCGGUGAGGCUCAGGACUAUGAUGGGAUUCAGUAUUUGUUACGGGAGAUGAAGAGUCCAAUCUAGUGGGCUACAACACGCUGUUGGAAGCAAUGGAUAUUGGAAGGCUGGGAAGCCGGGGAUUGCAGGGAGCCUGUUCGAGUAAAUGGUUUCGGCUGGCUUGUCCAAGGAUGAGAAGACGCUGGCUGGCUGCCUGCAUUGGGGCUGUAGGAGCGGAUGAGGUCCAACAAAUGGCCGAUGGAUUUCAUCCUCGACAGCACAUUGUUGAGCAUGUGCACCGAUCUUGGGUUGGAUGAAGAGGCCGAGAAGCUGUUUGAGGAUAUGACGCCGAGAAGCUGUUUGAGGAUAUGAAGCAGCCCGGGCAGGGUACUCGCCUGGAUUGUUGGAGCUAUCCUGCUGAUUAACAUUUAUGGGAGUGGCGGGAAGGCAGGGAGGAUAGUGGAAUUGCUUGAAGAGAUAUCGGAGGGCGGACUCGAGCCGAAUCCUAUGAGCUAUUUGAUUCAAUGCUUGGAGAAGGCUGAAAUUCGAGACUUCCGUGGAGAGAGGUGCUAUACCGGAUGACUGGCUUUGUGGAUGCUUGCUGUCGCUUGUGGCUUUGUGCGAAUAAGGGGUGAUGGGGAUUGUGCUCACAUUCUUGGAGAAGGAUAGUCAAGGCUGGUUGGGUUGGUUAAAAAUGCUUUGUAAGGAAGAAGUUAGCUUCGAUGAAGUUAAAGAAGAAUUCCGAGGGUCCCUGAAUGAGGCUACUGAGGAGGUUCGGAGGCCCUUAAAGAUGCAUGUAGAAACCACAGUACUGAAAUGUAGAUUCAUGAGGCUUUUGUGUC